rnacentral:misc_RNA from 1 species
GAUGAAGAACGUAGCGAAAUGCGAUAAGUAGUGUGAAUUGCAGAAUUCAGUGAAUCAUCGAAUCUUUGAACGCACAUUGCGCCCCUUGGUAUCCCGAGGGGCAUGCCUGUUCGAGCGUCAUUUCACCACUCAAGCCUGGCUUGGUGUUGGGCGACGUCCCCUUUAGGGACGCGCCUCGAAACGCUCGGCGGCGUGGCACCGGCUUUAAGCGUAGCAGAAUCUUUCGCUUUGGAAGUCGGGGCCCCGCCUGCCGGAAUACCAACUCGUAAGGUUGACCUCGGAUCAGGCAGGGAUACCCGCUGAACUUAAGCAUAUCAAUAAGCGGAGGA